rnacentral:rRNA from 1 species
AGGAUUAACGCUGGCGGCGUGCCUGACACAUGCAAGUCGAACGAGGCCGCAAGGCCGAGUGGCGGACGGGUGAGUAACACGUGACCAACCAACCUCGAAGUUGGGAAUAGCUCUGCGAAAGUAGGGGUAAUACCGAAUGUGGCCCAGGGCGGGCAUCCGCCUUGGUCUAAAGAUUCAUCGCUUCGAGACGGGGUCGCGGCCUAUUAGCUUGUUGGUGAGGUAACGGCUCACCAAGGCGAUGAUGGGUAGCUGGUCUGAGAGGACGACCAGCCACACUGGGACUGAGACACGGCCCAGACUCCUACGGGAGGCAGCAGUGAGGAAUCUUCCGCAAUGGGCGAAAGCCUGACGGAGCAACGCCGCGUGUGGGAUGAAGACUCUAGGGUUGUAAACCACUGUCGGAGGGGACGAUCGUGACGGUACCCUCCAAGAACGCCCCGGCUAACUACGCGCCAGCAGCCGC